rnacentral:rRNA from 1 species
UUUGGGGAAUUUUCCGCAAUGGGCGCAAGCCUGACGGAGCAAGACCGCGUGCGGGAGGACGGCCUAUUGGUUGUAAACCGCUUUUGAUAGGGAAGAAGUUCUGACGGUACCUAUCGAAUCAGCAUCGGCUAACUCCGUGCCAGCAGCCGCGGUAAUACGGAGGAUGCAAGCGUUAUCCGGAAUUAUUGGGCGUAAAGCGUCCGUAGGUGGUUGUUCAAGUCUGCUGUUAAAGCGUGCGGCUUAACCGCAUACCAGCAGUGGAAACUGGGCGACUAGAGUGCGGUAGGGGUCAGGGGAAUUCCCAGUGUAGCGGUGAAAUGCGUAGAUAUUGGGAAGAACACCGGUGGCGAAAGCGCCUGACUG